GUGAGAGAUUGUAAUUUGACAACAAGCUGUAUUUAUACCCCCUGUGAUCCCAGUUUGAAGGCUAGAAGUGCUGGCUGGUACAGAGCAAGGGAUCAAUCUGCAUCAGGGUGUAAAUCUGCAUAAUUUCCACCAUGAAGAUAUUGACUCUAGCGUUUCUAUUCUUGGCCUUGAUGGCUCUGAGCCAAGCUGCCGGUUCUCCAGUUGCUGUGGCUGAAAGUGAGACUAAAGAAAUUCCUGCAGAAGGUGAGCUCAACGUUUCUCCAUAUUGGUUUAAUGGGC